rnacentral:rRNA from 1 species
UACGUAGGGUGCAAGCGUUAAUCGGAAUUACUGGGCGUAAAGCGUGCGCAGGCGGUUAUGUAAGACAGGUGUGAAAUCCCCGGGCUUAACCUGGGAACUGCAUUUGUGACUGCAUAGCUAGAGUACGGUAGAGGGGGGAUGGAAUUCCGCGUGUAGCAGCGAAAUGCGUAGAUAUGCGGAGGAACACCGAUGGCGAAGGCAAUCCCCUGGACCUGUACUGACGCUCAUGCACGAAAGCGUGGGGAGCAAACAGGAUUA